AGAGUUUGAUCCUGGCUCAGGAUAAACGCUGGCGGCGUGCCUAACACAUGCAAGUCGAACGCUCUUGCGCUAAGCGAGAGAGUGGCGGACGGGUGAGUAACACGUGGGUAUCUGCCCUGAGGUGAGGAAUACCGGCGAGAAAUCGCCGACAAGACCGCAUACGCUUCGCAAGAAGUAAAGUCGCAAGACGCCACAGGAUG
rnacentral:rRNA from 1 species